GACGAACGCUGGCGGCGUGCUUAACACAUGCAAGUCGAACGGGCCUGUCUUCUUUUUUGGGGGUGGGUUGAGUGGCGAACGGGUGAGUAUCACGUGAGUAACCUGCCCUUCGGUCCUGGAUAACCGCUUGAAAGGGCGGCUAAUACGGGGUGGUCCGGUUGGUCCGCAUGGGCUGGUCGGGAUAGAUUCACUGUUUUUGGUGUUUCGGCGGGGGAUGGGCUCGCGGCCUAUCAGCUUGAUGGUGGGGUGAUGGCCUACCAAGGCGGUGACGGGUAGCCGGCCUGAGAGGGUGGGCGGCCACACUGGGACUGAGAUACGGCCCAGACUCCUGCGGGAGGCAGCAGUGGGGGGUAUUGCACAAUGGGCGGAAGCCUGAUGCAGCGACGUCGCGUGAGGGAGGGAGGCCUUCGGGUUGUGAACCUCUGUUUCCGGUGGUGAAGGCCCUGUCCGUGUGGUGGGGUUGACGGUAGCCGGGGAUGAAGCGCCGGCUAACUACGUG
rnacentral:rRNA from 1 species